rnacentral:rRNA from 1 species
UACGUAGGGGGCAAGCGUUGUCCGGAUUUAUUGGGCGUAAAGAGCGUGUAGGCGGCCACACAGGUCAGCUGUGAAAACUCGAGGCUCAACCUCGAGACGUCGGUUGAAACCGUAUGGCUAGAGUCCGGAAGAGGAGAGUGGAAUUCCCGGUGUAGCGGUGAAAUGCGCAGAUAUCGGGAGGAACACCGGUGGCGAAGGCGGUUCUCUGGGCCUGUACUGACGCUGAGGAGCGAAAGCGUGGGGAGCGAACAGG